rnacentral:sRNA from 1 species
GGCAACGGUGCGCUGCGGCCGGCGCAGAA